GCUGACACAGUAGCUGGAGUGUCUGCAGCGAACAGUCACAAGGCUGGAAGAUGAGAAGACGGAGCUGAAGCACCACAAUGCCGAGCUGAGGAGGACUCUUGAGCAGGUGGAACAUGAACGGAGGACACUGAAGAGAUAUUUCAGGCAGCAGUCACUGCCAGAUGCCUCCAGAUUUUCUGUCUCCAACACAGAACAGCAGAAGAUGCCCCCUUCCAGACAGACGCAGGUGGUGCAGGAGCAGAAACUCAAGCAGGGCUGCACUGAGCGCUGAGCGUCUUCUUUGACGGCCUGCAUGCAAUAAGGGCCUCCUCAUCCUUGUGCCUCGGAUCCCACAGCCCCACGUUCCUGGGGGACUGAAAUCAGCCUGUGCCUCCAGCGGGUCCAGCCUGGGAGCUUUCCCCGUGCCUGCAUUGAGAGACAGUC